rnacentral:rRNA from 1 species
GGUGCUGCAUGGCUGUCGUCAGCUCGUGUUGUGAAAUGUUGGGUUAAGUCCCGCAACGAGCGCAACCCUUAUCCUUUGUUGCCAGCGGUCCUGCCGGGAACUCAAAGGAGACUGCCAGUGAUAAACUGGAGGAAGGUGGGGAUGACGUCAAGUCAUCAUGGCCCUUACGACCAGGGCUACACACGUGCUACAAUGGCGCAUACAAAGAGAAGCGACCUCGCGAGAGCAAGCGGACCUCAUAAAGUGCGUCGUAGUCCGGAUUGGAGUCUGCAACUCGACUCCAUGAAGUCGGAAUCGCUAGUAAUCGUGGAUCAGAAUGCCACGGUGAAUACGUUCCCGGGUCUUGUACACAC